rnacentral:rRNA from 1 species
UACGUAGGGUGCGAGCGUUGUUCGGAUUUACUGGGCGUAAAGGGCGCGUAGGCGGCCUCCGCAAGUCAGUUGUGAAAUCUCCGAGCUUAACUCGGAAAGGUCAACUGAUACUGCGGGGCUAGAGUGCGGAAGGGGCAACUGGAAUUCUUGGUGUAGCGGUGAAAUGCGUAGAUAUCAAGAGGAACACCUGCGGCGAAGGCGGGUUGCUGGGCCGACACUGACGCUGAGGCGCGAAAGCCAGGGGAGCGAACGGG